GACGAACGCUGGCGGCGUGCCUAAUACAUGCAAGUCGAACGCUGACGAGAGGAGCUUGCUCUUCUGGGAUGAGUUGCGGACGGGAGAGUAACGCGUAGGUAACCUGCCUGUUAGCGGGGGAUGACUAUUGGAAACGAUAGCUAAUACCGCAUAAAAUGGUUUAUAGCAUGAUAAUCCAUUGAAAGGUGCUAAUGCAUCACUAACAGAUGGACCUGCGUUGUAUUAGCUAGUUGGUGGGGUAACGGCUAACCCAGGGGACGAUACAUAGCCGACCUGGGAGGGGGAGAGGCCACACUGGGACUGGAGCACGGCCCAGCACCCUGCGGGAGGGAGCAGGAGGGGAUCUUCGGCAAAGGACGGAAGGCUGAACGAGCAACGCCGGGUGAGUGAAGGAGGGUGUCGGGUCGGAAAGGUCUGUUGGAAGAGAAGAACGAGUGUGAGAGUGGAAAGGUCACACUGUGACGGUACCUGAACAGAAAGCGACGGCUAACUACGUG
rnacentral:rRNA from 1 species